GUACACGCUGUGACUAGCAUAUCAAUAAGCGGAGGAAAAGAAACUAACAAGGAUUCCCCUAGUAACGGCGAGUGAAGCGGGAAGAGCUCAAAUUUGAAAUCUUAAAGGGUUUCCCUUUACGAAUUGUAGUUUAAAGAAGUGUUUUCUGUUGAGGUUUUGGUAAAAGUUCUUUGGAAUAGGACAUCAUAGAGGGUGAGAAUCCCGUAUUUGACCUUUACUUUCAACUUUGUGAUACACUUUCAAAGAGUCGGAUUGUUUGGGAAUGCAGUCCAAAAUGGGUGGUAAAUUUCAUCUAAAGCUAAAUAUUGGCGAGAGACCGAUAGCGAACAAGUACCGUGAGGGAAAGAUGAAAAGAACUUUGAAAGAGAGUUAAACAGUACGUGAAAUUGUCAAAAGGGAAGCGUUUGACACCAGUGUUGUUUUUCUGAAAAUCAAUUAAAGAACUGUUUAUGCUAAGUUGUUUAGACUUUAUCAGCUAACUGUUUAGUUUUGAGCUUUUCUUUAAUGCACUUUUCAGUUAACAAGUCAACAUCAAUUUCUUUUGCUGUAAAAAAGCUUGAGGAAGGUGGCUUGAGAUUCGUCUUAAGUGUUUAUAGCCUCUUGCCUAUGCAGUCGGAGAGAUUGAGGUCUGCAGCGUAGAUCCUUCGGGGCUAAAUGCAUUUGUGCUAAGUUAUAGCAUUUUAUAGACAACUUGUUGACUAUGAUUUGUCUUGUAGCUUACUCGCUUAUGUUAUUUUACCUACGCUUAGGAUGUUGACAGCAGUAUAGACUGU
rnacentral:rRNA from 1 species